ACGUGGUAUAGUGGUUUUUUCAUUUGAUUCUAUAACAGUUUAAAAAAAUUAAUUUGCGUAAUUGUUACCUAGCUGGUUGCCGAAUCCUAGGCAGUGAAUUCGCUUUAGUUGGCGUAACAUUACAACUGUCAAUGCGUUGCAGUCAGUGCAGAAGGUUGUAUAACAGUAAUUAAACAGUAAGUUUUUUCUUUAACAAAAUGUUUUAAACAGUAGAUUUUUAUAUAUUUUUUUAUAUUGCAGUAGUAAACAUGCUGCCAGAACGGAGACUAUGGAGAAGAAAGUUACACAGCGGCGACAAGAUAAAUUAUUUUUGAUGCUAUAUUCACAUGAAUGUGUGUGAUAGCUCAGCGAUUCAGCACAAAAUUUGUUAUUUUGUCCUCUUUUAACUGAUCAAGAGGGUAUAGCUCAGUGAUAUAGCAUUCUACUGCAGAUCGAGGUGUACUGAUUUCAAACCUGGGUGCCCCCUUGUGCUUACUAUUAAAGUAAUAAAUGACACUAAGUGAAUGAA